rnacentral:rRNA from 1 species
AUUGAACGCUGGCGGCAUGCUUUACACAUGCAAGUCGAACGGUAACAGGCCGCAAGGUGCUGACGAGUGGCGAACGGGUGAGUAAUGCAUCGGAACGUGCCCAGUCGUGGGGGAUAACGCAGCGAAAGCUGCGCUAAUACCGCAUACGAUCUCUGGAUGAAAGCGGGGGACCGAAAGGCCUCGCGCGAUUGGAGCGGCCGAUGUCAGAUUAGGUAGUUGGUGGGGUAAAGGCCCACCAAGCCAACGAUCUGUAGCUGGUCUGAGAGGACGACCAGCCACACUGGGACUGAGACACGGCCCAGACUCCUACGGGAGGCAGCAGUGGGGAAUUUCGGACAAUGGGCGCAAGCCUGAUUCAGCAAUGCCGCGUGCAGGAAGAAGGCCUUCGGGUUGUAAACUGCUUUUGUACGGAACGAAACGGUCCGGGUUAAUACCUCGGGGUAAUGACGGUACCUGAAGAAUAAGCACCGGCUAACUACGUGCCAGCCGCCGCAGUAACAC